UCGUCGAUCUGCUGCGGGCAGAUGAAGUGGAUAUGGCUGUCAAAGCCACCUGCGGUCAGGAUACGGCCCUCGCCGGCAAUCGCCUCGGUGCCGGGGCCGACAAUGAUGUCGACACCCGGCUGGGUGUCGGGGUUUCCGGCCUUGCCGAUGGCGUGAAUGCGCCCGUCGCGAAGGCCCACAUCGGCCUUGUAGAUGCCCGUGUGAUCGACGAUCAGCGCGUUGGUGAUAACCGUAUCCACCGCGCCCGCCGCGCGCGUGAUCUGGCUUUGGCCCAUGCCGUCGCGG
rnacentral:sRNA from 1 species